UGAGGAAUAUUGGUCAAUGGGCGAUAGCCUGAACCAGCCAAGUAGCGUGAAGGAUGAAGGCUCUAUGGGUCGUAAACUUCUUUUAUAUAAGAAUAAAGUGCAGUAUGUAUACUGUUUUGUAUGUAUUAUAUGAAUAAGGAUCGGCUAACUCCGUGCCAGCAGCCGCGGUAAUACGGAGGAUCCGAGCGUUAUCCGGAUUUAUUGGGUUUAAAGGGAGCGUAGGUGGACUGGUAAGUCAGUUGUGAAAGUUUGCGGCUCAACCGUAAAAUUGCAGUUGAUACUGUCAGUCUUGAGUACAGUAGAGGUGGGCGGAAUUCGUGGUGUAGCGGUGAAAUGCUUAGAUAUCACGAAGAACUCCGAUUGCGAAGGCAGCUCACGGGACUGCAACUGACACUGAUGCUCGAAAGUGUGGGUAUCAAACAGG
rnacentral:rRNA from 1 species